GCCGUCUUAGCUCAGUUGGUAGAGCAUUCGCUUCGUAAGCGAGAGGUCCCGAGUUCGAUCCUCGGAGACGGCU
rnacentral:tRNA from 1 species